CUUGGUCAUUUAGAGGAAGUAAAAGUCGUAACAAGGUUUCCGUAGGUGAACCUGCGGAAGGAUCAUUAUUGAGAUGUAACGGCGCCUUGUUAGUUGUUGCAAUGUAGAGUCAGUGCUGGCUUCUAAAGUAUGUGCACGCUUUACUUGUAGUUCUAACUUGGUGAUAACCGUUUCUUAUCCAUCCACCUGUGCACUUUUUGUAGGAGUUUUUAUUAGGUUGGCUUUCAAGUCGAAAGACUUUGUUAGUUGGCAUAAUAGGACUUCUAUGUCUUUACAAACCAUUGAAGUAUGUCUAGAAUGUCGUUUUACUGGGACUUCAUUGACCCUUUAAACUUUAUACAACUUUCAGCAACGGAUCUCUUGGCUCUCCCAUCGAUGAAGAACGCAGCGAAAUGCGAUAAGUAAUGUGAAUUGCAGAAUUCAGUGAAUCAUCGAAUCUUUGAACGCACCUUGCGCCCUCUGGUAUUCCGGAGGGCAUGCCUGUUUGAGUGUCAUUAAAUUCUCAACUUCAAAAGUUUUUAUUAACUUAUUGAAGCUUGGAUGUGGGGGUUUGUUGGCGUCUUUAGAUGUUCAGCUCCCCUUAAAUGCAUUAGUGGAAUUCCCGUUUGGUUGGUCCAUCUUGGUGUGAUAAUUAUCUACGCUUUGCUUGGUUCAACUGUGUCAGGUGUGCUUAGGCUAGAUCCUGGUUGUGAUAUUGCAUUAAGUUGCUUUAUCUGAUUGUGGGAAAUUUAUCUGCUUUCUAACCGUCUGUUGUUUCAGACAAUUUAUUGACUAUUUGACCUCAAAUCAGGUAGGACUACCCGCUGAACUUAAGCAUAUCAAUAAGCGGAGGAAAAGAAACUAACAAGGAUUCCCCUAGUAACUGCGAGUGAAGAGGGAAAAGCUCAAAUUUAAAAUCUGGCAGUCUUUGAUUGUCCGAGUUGUAAUUUAGAGAAGUGUUACCCGUGUUGGCCCGUGUACAAGUUUCCUGGAAUGGAACGUCAUAGAGGGUGAGAAUCCCGUCUUUGACACGGACUACCAAUGCAUUGUGGUAUGCUCUCGAAGAGUCGAGUUGUUUGGGAAUGCAGCUCUAAAUGGGUGGUAAAUUCCAUCUAAAGCUAAAUAUUGGGGAGAGACCGAUAGCGAACAAGUACCGUGAGGGAAAGAUGAAAAGAACUUUGGAAAGAGAGUUAAACAGUACGUGAAAUUGCUGAAAGGGAAACGCUUGAAGU
rnacentral:rRNA from 1 species